rnacentral:antisense_RNA from 1 species
GGGAUGCCAUGGCUCUUCCUGAAAUCCUGAGAGCUUAUUCCUGCCCUUGAACUUCUAUUGGUUUUAUAGGAAAGGCUCUUGGAGCCCCAGCAUCUGAGCACAAUCCCAUUCUAAGAUUUCCUGAGCGGUAUCAUUUAAAUUUACAGAUGGAGUCUCACUCUGUUGCCCAGGCUGGAGUGCAGUGGCAUGAUCUCGGCUCACUGCAGCCUCCACCUCCCAGAGACUGAUAAAUGUCACCUGUUAUCACCCGUCUCUCCUUCCAAAGAAAGAGAACUCCCAACUUUUAACCUGGCACAUGAUUACCCAAAAUGAAGACUCCAUAUAUCAGCCAUGGCCAAGUUUCUGACCAAUGAGAUAAAUAAAACAGACAUGACUGGAUGUGAAACAGUCAUUUGGACCAUGAAGUGACCUUGGAAAAGGAAGCCAGGACUGGUGUCCGUAUAAGAAGAUAGCCCUGUGAAGACACAGACUCAGAGAGAAUUCUAAUAUGGAGAUGGAAGCAAAAUCUGUAGUCAUGCUGCUCCAAGCUAAGGAAUACCUGGGGCUACCAGAAGCUCGAAGAAGCAGGAGAAGUUCCUCCCUAGAGGCUUCAGAGAACAUGACAUCUGACACAUUGAUUUCAGUUGGCUGAGCUUCAAAGCGAUGAGGUGAAUUUCUGUUGUUUUAAGCCACCCAGAGACAGCCCUAAGAAAUUAAUGCACAUGCUAAUACUAGUUUUCUCUAAGUUUCAUUGAGAAUAUUGAAAAAUAUAUAUUUAAAUAUCUGGAUCUUAUUGAGAAUACAAAGAAGACUUUCAUACGUUGGUAUUUCUGAAUCUUCAUUUAUAAAAUGUUAAAUAACUUAUGCCCAAAAGAAAAAAUCGGUCAGAAAUUACCUCAUAUCAGUAAGUUCUAUAGUAAAGGAAUAAAUGCAUCUAAGAAUGA